UAAGCAAACAGAUGGAACUAGAAAAUAUGA
rnacentral:piRNA from 1 species